UACGUAGGGUGCAGGCGUUAAUCGGAAUUACUGGGCGUAAAGCGUGCGCAGGCGGUCUUUUUAAGUCAGAUGUGAAAUCCCCGGGCUUAACCUGGGAACUGCGUUUUGAAACUGGAAGGCUAGAGUGUGGCAGAGGGGGGGUGGAAUUCCACGGUGUAGCAGUGAAAAUGCGUAGAUAUGUGGAGGAACACCGAUGGCGAAGGCAGCCCCCUGGGCUA
rnacentral:rRNA from 1 species